GGCCUAAUGGCCCAAUGGCAAGGCGCUUGACUACGAUUAUCUAGUCCAAUCAAGAGAUUCCAGGUUCGACCCCUGGUUAGGUCA